rnacentral:tRNA from 2 species
GGAUACGUGCCUGAAAACUAAGGACCUCCUUGAUAGGGAGAACUAUAGGGGUUAAAACCCCCUCGUUUCCU